CCUACGGGUGGUAGCAGUAGGGAAUAUUGCUCAAUGGGGGAAACCCUGAAGCAGCAACGCCGCGUGGAGGAUGAAGGUUUUCGGAUUGUAAACUCCUUUUGUUAGAGAAGAUAAUGACGGUAUCUAACGAAUAAGCACCGGCUAAAUCCGUGCCAGCAGCCGCGGUAAUACGGAGGGUGCAAGCGUUACUCGGAAUCACUGGGCGUAAAGGGCGCGUAGGCGGGUAAGAAAGGCAGAUGUGAAAUCCUAGGGGUUAACCAUAGAACUGCAUUUGAAACUGUAAUUCUAGAGAAUAGGAGAGGUAGGUGGAAUACUUGGUGUAGCGGUAAAAUCCGUAGAGAUCAAGAGGAAUACUCAUAGCGAAGGCGACCUGCUAGAACAAAACUGACGCUGAUGCACGAGAGCGUGGGGAGCAAACAGGAUUAGAUACCCGGGUAGUC
rnacentral:rRNA from 1 species